rnacentral:lncRNA from 1 species
UUGACUACAGGAACAAAACGCUAUCACCGAAAAACUAGAGCAAAAAUCGAAAACUCGAUUCAGAACUCAAGUCGUCCCUCUUUUACUUUCUUUUUCUCUUUCUUAUUACUUUCUUUUUCUCUUUCUUAUAACUUCUACUGCAUUUUCUCUCUGUCUCUCUUUUGUAACUAUUUUUUUUAUCUUCUCUUUCUUUUUGUUCUGUUUGUGUUUUUCUCUCACUUUCGGUGACAGUAU